CAUUUGCUUGUUGAACAAGAUGAAGGUCUCACCUUCACAUUGAGAUCAAAUGAUUGAGCAGAAACCCUAAAUCCAUAGUGGUAUGGAAUGGAAGAGGGGAUGAACAAGGAACCUGAAAGCUUGCCAUUUUGGCCAGAAGCUCGGAGCUGAGAGACCAAGUCGGUUAGCUUGGAGAGCUCAUGAGGGGCUUUAUCUCACUUGAACGUCCAUCGCAUUCUUCAUGGUUUUCGCAUACCUGCGUCAUGUCCUGUCCCUGGCUGCUCUGCUGUUUAUGUUGGCACGGGAUAUAGGUGAGGGUCCACAAGAGGAGACGACUGAGAGGCAAUUAAAAAUCAUCACACGCUUCUCUAUGCGAUUCCGAUUCUCACAACAACAACAACAUUAGUUAUAUAACUUCUUAUAUAUAUAUAUAUUUUAUAACGAUCUUAAAUAUAUAUGUAGAUAUAUAUAUAUGUGCAUGUUAACUUUAUAGAUCAUCUCGGGUGUCUCUACGCUAAAGCUACUUGGUGUGGUUGGGGAUUAUAAAAAACAGACACACACGUCAUUAUCAAUAUCUUAUUUUUUCUUACACAAAAACACAAAGGGUAUCCCCGAACAUUUACACCAAUUGGACUCGAAACAUAAUUUCCUAUAAUACUAGGUGUUUUCUUGUUAAAGUUCAAAGCUUUUUUUUUAAAAAAAAAAAGUAAAACCCAGAUGACCAGCUAACCGAUUAUGCAAAUUACGAUCUUAGAAAAAUCAAUAUUCAAAGGUCAAACGGUUCAAAAAUUAGAUCUCGGAUCCGCCGGAGGUAAACACGCUUCUGUUUCCUCCAGCACUCGGGGCUCUUUGAUCCCCCCCAAAAAAAAAAAAAAAGAAGAAGGGAUGCAGUGAACAUUUCCCCGGAUUCCCAUAUUUUCUGGCUUUUUCCCGCCGGCCAAACAGAAUCUAAACUUUUACCAUAUCCUUUGUAGCUUUUUUUUUUUCCAAUUAGGAAAAGAAACUUGCGGGAGUAUCAAUGAUCAGAAGCAUAUGCUAUGUGAAGUACGGAAAAAAAAGAAAAAGAAAAGAAAUGAUAGAAUCCGAUUCGAUUUUCGAGUUGUUUUGAAGAACAAAAGCAAAAGUAAUUUUUUUGCCAUUUGCAUAGACAAAUUAUGGAUCGGAGAAAAUAUUGGAGAAGAUUUCCGAACGAUUGGAAAUUACGAAAUAAAAGUUAUC